UACGAAGGGGGCUAGCGUUGCUCGGAAUCACUGGGCGUAAAGCGCACGUAGGCGGAUCUUUAAGUCAGGGGUGAAAUCCUGGAGCUCAACUCCAGAACUGCCCUUGAUACUGGAGAGCUUGAGUUCGGGAGAGGUGAGUGGAACUGCGAGUGUAGAGGUGAAAUUCGUAGAUAUUCGCAAGAACACCAGUGGCGAAGGCGGCUCACUGGCCCGAUACUGACGCUGAGGUGCGAAAGCGUGGGGAGCAAACAGG
rnacentral:rRNA from 1 species